AGGUGGAGCUCGUUGUGCAUCAUGGAAAAACUGCAGGAUCUAUUCUACCUUCAAAAAGCAGAGAUCUUGCUUCAUCGUAUAUGAAAAUUUGUUGGUCGUCGUGCAUUACUACAAUUCCCUUCCGCACGCCCCUGCUUCUUUCUGUCCACCUCUUUUCUCUCUCUCCACACACAGAGAGCCCUCUACGAGCGAGAACAGAAGCGCAGCAGAGACGCGAAGGCCAAGAUGAAAUGGAGCAGGAAAUAGUUGCCCAAGAUGGUCACGACCUCUAUGUCCGAGUGCGGCUUUCAGACACAGGAUCUAUAAGCAGGAAUUGUGGAACUUGUGGCACUAAUUUAUUCCCCUACCCUUUAAGCACGGAAGAGGACUGUCACGAUCCCCUUUACUCUCCAUUAGCUACGACAGCAAAAAUGGCGGAUACAUGUCUCCGGAGUAUGGUUUGAGCGGAGUUUUCUCGGUCAAGUCCGAUGUUUAUAGCUUUGGUGUUGUUGUAAUGGAGAUUGUUAGCGGGAAAUGUAACACGGGCCCUUAUCAGUCCCAAGAAAUAUCGAGCCUUCUCGCUUAUGCACGGGAAUUAUGGAAUGACAAUAAAGCGUCGGACUUGAUGGAUCAAGCGCUGCACACAACUUACAAUAUAGAUGAAGUUUUGAAGUGUAUAAAAGUGGGCUUUUAUGUGUGCAAGACGACCCGAGUGAUUGUCCCACAAUGUCAGAUACAGUUUUGAUGCUCCAUGGCGGAUUUGCGACUCUUGCGAUUCCCAAAUGACCGACUUUUACAGUUCGGAGAGGCCCGGCUCUUUCUUUACCGGAGUCGAGCACGGGGUCAUAUACUCGUCGGGACCAUGGUUAACCCUCCGUCUCCGCCGCCGUCACAGCUGCUGCGACCGGGGGGGCUCUUCGGAGCAAGCAAGAGGGAGUGUUGAGUCCGCAGAGUCGGAAAUCGCCAUACUUCCCAUAGAAUGAAAGGGCCAUUUCAGAUAUCGAACGGCAUAUUACAGUGCCCCACACACGACCGAAUUGCCUUCCCAUGAUUUGACGCUGAAGAACUGCAUGCAUCCCUAACCUCUGAAGUGAUCAGUCGAUUCUCAAAUACGAAACAAUGAAAUCGAUCGAGAAUCACAUUUAACACAGCGGACAUUGAUCAUCGAAUGCCAAACUAGAGCUCUAACGGAGGGCUUACUCGGGAAGGAGACGAAAGGCAGACGGACUUGAGAUUCUUGGGAUUCAAGACAUGAAAUAUCAACGGUUUCGCCAGGAACGAGCCAUGGCCGCUUGCUCGACUCCGGUAAAGAAAGAGCCGGGCCUCUCUGAACCGUAAAAGUCGGUCUUUUGGGAACUGGAAGAGUCGCAAAUCCGACAUGGAGCAUCAAAACUGCAUCUGACAUUGUGGGACAUUCACUCGGGUUGUCUUGCACACAUAAAAGCCCCACUUUUAUACACUUCAAAACUUCAUCUCUAUUGUAAGUUGCGUGCAGCGCUUGAUCCAUCAAGUCCAACACUUUAUUCUCAUUCCAUAAUUC